UUAACAUGAUGGACUAUAGGACAGGACUGCUGCUUUUAACUCUCUGCUGGGCAGGUGUUGAUGGUCAGACUCUGACAGAAUCUGAACCAGUGGUUAAAAGACCUGGAGAAUCCCACAGAUUGACCUGUUCAGCCUCUGGGUUUAACUUUGGUAGAUCUUGGAUGGCCUGGGUCAGACAGGCUCCUGGAAAAGGACUGGAAUGGGUAGCAACUAUUGAAUAUGAUAGUGACAGCAUCUACUACUCUCAGUCAGUUCAGGGCCGGUUUACGCUCUCCAGAGACAACAGCAGAGAGCAGCUGUAUCUGCAGAUGAACAGUCUGAAGACUGAAGAUUCUGCUGUUUAUUAUUGUCUUUUGUUGUUUUGA